rnacentral:rRNA from 1 species
GACGAACGCUGGCGGCGUGGAUUAGGCAUGCAAGUCGAACGGUAUCAUCCUUUCGGGGGUGAGAGAGUGGCGAACUGGUGAGUAACACGUAGGUUAUCUACCCUCAAGACGGGGACAACCCAGGGAAACUUGGGCUAAUACCGGAUGUGAGCAACUUUUAGUUGUUUGAAAGGUGGCGUAAGCUGUCGCUUGGGGAUGAGCCUGCGUCCUAUUAGUUAGUUGGUGAGGUAACGGCUCACCUAGGCAAUGAUAGGUAGGCGGCCUUAACGGGUGGUCGCCCACACUGGGAUUGAGAUACGGCCCAGACUCCUACGGGAGGCAGCAGUCGAGAAUAGUCUACAAUGGUCGGAAGACUGAUAGUGCGACGCCGCGUGAACGAUGAAUCCCUUCGGGGUGUAAAGUUCUUUUAUAUGUGAGCAGUGCUUCUUAUAUUAACAGUAUGGGGAGAGAGAUAUUAGCAUAUGAAUAAGCAACGGCUAACUCCGUGCCAGCAGCCGCGGUAAUCCG